AGGCCAAGGUUUCCGAAACGGGUGGGCGCAGAAGAAGCUUGCUCUCGGGUGACGAGUGGCGGACGGGUGAGUAAUGUCUGGGAAACUGCCUGAUGGAGGGGGAUAACUACUGGAAACGGUAGCUAAUACCGCAUAACGUCGCAAGACCAAAGAGGGGGACCUUCGGGCCUCUUGCCAUCAGAUGUGCCCAGAUGGGAUUAGCUAGUAGGUGGGGUAACGGCUCACCUAGGCGACGAUCCCUAGCUGGUCUGAGAGGAUGACCAGCCACACUGGAACUGAGACACGGUCCAGACUCCUACGGGAGGCAGCAGUGGGGAAUAUUGCACAAUGGGCGCAAGCCUGAUGCAGCCAUGCCGCGUGUAUGAAGAAGGCCUUCGGGUUGUAAAGUACUUUCAGCGGGGAGGAAGGUGUUGUGGUUAAUAACCACAGCAAUUGACGUUCCCCGCAGAAGAAGCAACCGGCUUACUCCGUGCCAGCAGCCGCGGUAUACCGAGGGUGCAAGCGUUAAUCGGAUUACUGGGCGUAAAGCGCACGCAGGCGGUCUGUCAGUCGAAGGGAAAUCCCCGGGCUCACCGGGAACUGCUUCGAACUGGCAGCUGGAGU
rnacentral:rRNA from 1 species